rnacentral:misc_RNA from 1 species
GGUACCAGACUAGUAGCUAUGCAGACCUGGCAAACAAACGCGGAGUCGCCAUGAUAGAAGUUUAAGAAUCCACGCAAGUUCAUUGCCUGACCAUGGACCCUAGGACUUUGGCCCAGGAUGCGUUAUCCAUGAAAACAGAAGAACAAGUCUUCACCAUAGAUUCUCCCGGUGCUGAGUCCUCUACCCCUAACAGACCGCUCAUUGAUGUACCAAGGAUCAUCGCACAGAUAAACACAGCUAGUAUUAACGGAUUGCGCGGUGUGUCCUGUGUGAGUGAUGAAGAUAUCUGGACGUGUGACAAUGAGAUUCAGAUAAUUAGACUCUACAACCUGCAGGGGGAACUAGUGAAGUCAGUCCAAACCAAGUCGGGGAACACUGUAUACGACAUAGCAGUGACAAGGAGUGGGGAUCUAGUUUAUACUGAUUACAAAGAUAGAACUGUGAACAUAGUGAACAAUACACAGAUACAGACAGUGAUCAGACUAGAGGGAUGGAAACCUCAGGGUGUCUGUAGUACCUCCUCUGGUGACCUCCUGGUUGUCAUGGAGAGUGAUGAUAAACAAACAAAAGUUGUGUGUUACUCUGGCUCCACAGAGAAACAAAGUAUUCAGUACGACGACAAAGGACAACCUCUCUAUUCAUCUGGUGGCAUUAAAUACAUCAGUGAGAACAGGAACCUAGAUAUCUGCGUGUCAGACUGCAGCGCCCGUGCAGUAGUGGUGGUCAAUCAGGCCGGGAAACUCCGGUUUACCUACACUGGUCCUCCCUCUACUACCAAGGGAUCAUUCGAACCACGCGGCAUCACAACAGACAGCCAGGGUCGGAUCCUGUCAGCAGACUGGUACAACCACCGUAUCCACAUCGUGGAUCAGGACGGACAGUUCCUCCGCUACAUUAACAACUGUCAUUUAAAGUAUCCAUAUGGUUUAUGUGUGGACACCAGAGACAACCUCUCUGUGUCUGAGAACAUCACAGGUAAAGUGAAGAGAAUCCAGUAUUACACAUAAAAUAAAUAUGUGUAUACAUACAAAUAUAAACAAUAUAACAUGUAUACACUGAACAGUUGGUAUGGUACAUUUUAAUAAUUUAAACUUAUUAUAUAAGUGUGCAUCAUUUUUUAAUCAACUGAAUAUGUAUAAUAGUAAAUAUUUUACAAACGUUAUCAUCAUGAUCAUUACGUAUGUAAAUAUGUGUAAAAAAACUGUGGUUAGAUCCCAUAUGAAUAAAUUACAUGUGUGAAUAUAACAAUUGAACAAACUACCAGAGUAUGUUUAUUGAUAUUUAAUAAUCUAUCAUGUAUAAAUAAGAACAAUUCUUUAUGCAUGUUGUAUAUAUGUGCAUAAAUAAAGAUGGUGUGUUUGU